GUUCCACCUUCUCCUCCAAGCUGCAAAAUGCUGUUUCAGAGUGCUGGAGAGGGCCGGAGGAGGAGGCAGUGGGCGUAAGCUGGUGCAUGAGGAAGUCUUCAUAAAGCUCAGCAUUGAGCUUGAGCGGGUGGAAUUUGGAAACUCAGGCCCCAACCCUGUGUCUAGAGCCCCCUGUUGAGCCAUAGAACUGGAAUUUGAUUCUGCUGCUCACAAGGAAUGAGAUGGAGAUGAAACCAGGAUGUGGAGCAGCCCUCAUCCGGCAGCGCCCGCGCCCCAGGCGCGAGCUGACGCCCCAUGGAUUUCCAGCCGGGAGCUGCUCCAGAGCCUGAGGAUCCCAUGGGAAAACACGGACGGAAGAAAAGGCCUGAAUGGACAUCUGGGACCAAAAUACCCCAAAUAAAUAUUUACUGACAUCUAACUC